CCUACGGGAGGCAGCAGUGGGGAAUAUUGGGCAAUGGGCGCAAGCCUGACCCAGCAACGCCGCGUGAAGGAAGAAGGCUUUCGGGUUGUAAACUUCUUUUGUCAGGGACGAAGCAAGUGACGGUACCUGACGAAUAAGCCACGGCUAACUACGUGCCAGCAGCCGCGGUAAUACGUAGGUGGCAAGCGUUAUCCGGAUUUACUGGGUGUAAAGGGCGGGUAGGCGGGGAAGCAAGUCAGAUGGGAAAACCCCGGGCUCAACCUGUGGCCUGCAUUUGAAACUGUUUUUCUUGAGUGCUGGAGAGGCAAUCGGAAUUCCGUGUGUAGCGGUGAAAUGCGUAGAUAUACGGAGGAACACCAGUGGCGAAGGCGGCUUGCUGGACCGUACCUGACGCUGAGGCGCGAAAGCGUGGGGAGCAAACAGGAUUAGAUACCCUUGUAGUC
rnacentral:rRNA from 1 species